AAUACGUUCCCGGGCCUUGUACACACCGCCCGUCACACCACGAAAGUCGGCAACACCCGAAGCCGGUGGCCUAACCCGUAAGGGAGGGAGCCGUCGAAGGUGGGGUCGGUGAUUGGGGUG
rnacentral:rRNA from 1 species